CACUCCGGUGGCCUAGUGGUUAUAGCGUCCGCCUCGGAUGCGGAAAGUCGUGAGUUCGAUCCCCGGUCGAGUCA